UUUCGAAUCUUUCACAAUGGACGAAAGUCUGAUGGAGCAACGCCGCGUGGGUGGUAAGGCCUUCGGGUUGUAAAGCCCUUUCACCGGGGAAGAUGAUGACAUUACCCGGAGAAGAAGCGCCGGCUAACUCCGUGCCAGCAGCCGCGGUAAGACGGAGGGCGCUAGCGUUGUUCGGAAUCACUGGGCGUAAAGGGCGCGUAGGCGGCUGUUUAAGUCGAGGGUGAAAGCCCGGGGCUCAACCCCGGAACGGCCUUCGAGACUGGGCAGCUCGAGACCGGAAGAGGAGGGUGGAAUACCCAGUGUAGAGGUGAAAUUCGUAGAUAUUGGGUGGAACACCAGUGGCGAAAGCGGCUCUCUGGUCCGGAUCUGACGCUGAGGCGCGAAAGCGUGGGGAGCAAACAGGAUUAGAUACCCGCGUAGUCC
rnacentral:rRNA from 1 species